CCCUUAGAUGUUCUGGGCCGCACGCGCGCUACAAUGAUUGUCUCAGCAUGUUUUGGGUGUGUAAAUACCCAGGAAUUCCGAGUAACAAUCGUGAUGGGGCUAGACCCUUGCAAUUUUUGGUCUCCAACGAGGAAUUCCUAGUAAAGGCAGGUCAUUAACCUGCCUUGAUUACGUCCCUGCCCUUUGUACACACCGCCCGUCGAACCUACCGAUUGAAUGGUCCGGUGAAAUCUCCAGACGUGGUUUUACCAUGAAAGCUGAUUGAAUCUUAUCAUUUAGAGGAAGGUGAAGUCGUAACA
rnacentral:rRNA from 1 species